rnacentral:lncRNA from 1 species
GCCGGCGGGGCCGACGGGAGGGGAGGGCUGCGGGCGCGGCUCCGAGAUGCGCGGGACUCGCGGCGCCUUGGCCCGUACUUCCCGGAGCGGGCGGGGCGGGCUUCCCCCGAGGUGACCCCGGCCCAGGCUCGGGCGGCGCUGCGGAGCUGGGGCUAGGGGGCAGGUAUAUCCUGAAGAUCUCGGGGAAUUGCACAGCUUCCGACGGGAAAGACCAGCUCAGGACGCAGCUCCGUUCUGCAGGUUGGGAUGUACAAGAUCAAGGUGCCAGUAUGUUAGGGCCCAGACUCACUGCUUCCAGGAUGGUGCCCUGAAUGCUGGGUCCAUUGGAAGGAAGAAAUGCUACAUCCUCACAUGACAGAAGAGGAGAAAUGGGCAAGCCAUCACUGCAGUCCUUCUGUUAGUCCACCCCUGAGGGCUCUUGUGACUGAGAGCUGAUGGUCUCUGGUGUUCCCGCUUUCUAAACAGAUGAUUCUGUGAAUGAAAGCCCGCUGUGGUAUUACAGG